GAUGAAGAACGCAGCCAAAUGCGAUAAGUAAUGUGAAUUGCAGAAUUCAGUGAAUCAUCGAAUCUUUGAACGCACAUUGCGCCCGCCAGUAUUCUGGCGGGCAUGCCUGUUCGAGCGUCAUUUCAACCAUCAAGCCCCCGGCUUGUGUUGGGGACCUGCGGCUGCCGCAGGCCCUGAAAACCAGUGGCGGGCUCGCUGUCACACCGAGCGUAGUAGAUUUUCAUCUCGCUCAGGGCGUGCUGCGGGUUCCGGCCGUAAAAAGCCUUAUUUACCCAAGGUUGACCUCGGAUCAGGUAGGAAGACCCGCUGAACUUAAGCAUAUCAAUAAGCGGAGGA
rnacentral:misc_RNA from 1 species